rnacentral:lncRNA from 1 species
UGGGGAUAUAGAAAGCUAAGAGUUGUAUCUCAGAAGGAAGUAUUAGCAGUGGGUUUCACACUUUCAGGCGUAGUCUUUUAGAUUGAAAUUAUAUAUGUAUUGUUAUAUCUCAGACUCUAGAGUAAUAUAGUUGUAGGUAACUUUAGGGUUAUUAAAGGGUUCCACAGACUUAGAAUGAUAGAUUAAAGCUAAGGGGGAGAUGAUAGAACAAUUAACCAAGUUAGGCUCUCA